rnacentral:rRNA from 1 species
CCUCGGGAAACUGAGGUUACACUCGAUAGAAGACAUGCCCUGGAACGACUUGUCUUUGAAAUUCGAGCCUAAGGAUGAGGCUGCGGCGGAUUAGGUUGUUGGCGGGGUAAUAGCCCACCAAGCCGAAGAUCCGUAAGGGCUCUUAGCGGAGAGGCCCUGAGAGGGAAUCUGAGACACUAUUCCCAGCCCCACGGGGUGCAGCAGUUAGGCAUAAUCUACAAUGCACGCAAGUGUGAUAGUUUGAGUCAGAGUGCUUUGCUUUGCAAAGCUUUUGUGAAAUCUAAAACGUUUCACGAAUAAGGACUGGGUAAGACGAGUGCCAGCCGCCGCGGUAAUACUCGCGGUCCAAGUCGCAGCCAUUUUUAUUGGGUCUAAAACAUCCGUAGCUUGCUUGGUAAGUUCCUUGUGAAAUCUUAUAUCUCAAAUAUAGGGCGCGCAAGGAGUACUGCUAAGCUAGAGACUGGGAGACGUAACGAGUACGUUUGAGGUAGCGGUAAAAUGUGUUAAUCUCAGACGGACUAACAAUAGCGAAGGCACGUUACGAGAACAGUUCUGACAGUAAGGGAUGAAGGCCAGGGGCGCAAAACGGAUUAGAUACCCGUGUAGUCCUGGCAGUAAACACUGCUCACUAAACAUCGGGACCUCUUCGAGAGGUUUCGGUGCUGCAGCGAAGGCGAAGAGUGAGCUACCUGGGAAGUAUAGUCGCAAGGCUGAAACUUAAAGGAU